rnacentral:rRNA from 1 species
GACAAAUGCCCUGCUUCCAGGAAAAGCCUCUAAGCAUCAGGUAACAUCAAAUCGUACCCCAAACCGACACAGGUGGUCAGGUAGAGAAUACCAAGGCGCUUGAGAGAACUCGGGUGAAGGAACUAGGCAAAAUGGUGCCGUAACUUCGGGAGAAGGCACGCUGAUAUGUAGGUGAAGCGACUUGCUCGUGGAGCUGAAAUCAGUCGAAGAUACCAGCUGGCUGCAACUGUUUAUUAAAAACACAGCACUGUGCAAACACGAAAGUGGACGUAUACGGUGUGACGCCUGCCCGGUGCCGGAAGGUUAAUUGAUGGGGUUAGCGGUAACGCGAAGCUCUUGAUCGAAGCCCCGGUAAACGGCGGCCGUAACUAUAACGGUCCUAAGGUAGCGAAAUUCCUUGUCGGGUAAGUUCCGACCUGCACGAAUGGCGUAAUGAUGGCCAGGCUGUCUCCACCCGAGACUCAGUGAAAUUGAACUCGCUGUGAAGAUGCAGUGUACCCGCGGCAAGACGGAAAGACCCCGUGAACCUUUACUAUAGCUUGACACUGAACAUUGAGCCUUGAUGUGUAGGAUAGGUGGGAGGCUUUGAAGUGUGGACGCCAGUCUGCAUGGAGCCGACCUUGAAAUACCACCCUUUAAUGUUUGAUGUUCUAACGUUGGCCCGUAAUCCGGGUUGCGGACAGUGUCUGGUGGGUAGUUUGACUGGGGCGGUCUCCUCCUAAAGAGUAACGGAGGAGCACGAAGGUUGGCUAAUCCUGGUCGGACAUCAGGAGGUUAGUGCAAUGGCAUAAGCCAGCUUGACUGCGAGCGUGACGGCGCGAGCAGGUGCGAAAGCAGGUCAUAGUGAUCCGGUGGUUCUGAAUGGAAGGGCCAUCGCUCAACGGAUAAAAGGUACUCCGGGGAUAACAGGCUGAUACCGCCCAAGAGUUCAUAUCGACGGCGGUGUUUGGCACCUCGAUGUCGGCUCAUCACAUCCUGGGGCUGAAGUAGGUCCCAAGGGUAUGGCUGUUCGCCAUUUAAAGUGGUACGCGAGCUGGGUUUAGAACGUCGUGAGACAGUUCGGUCCCUAUCUGCCGUGGGCGCUGGAGAACUGAGGGGGGCUGCUCCUAGUACGAGAGGACCGGAGUGGACGCAUCACUGGUGUUCGGGUUGUCAUGCCAAUGGCACUGCCCGGUAGCUAAAUGCGGAAGAGAUAAGUGCUGAAAGCAUCUAAGCACGAAACUUGCCCCGAGAUGAGUUCUCCCUGAGACUUAGAGUCUCCUGAAGGAACGUUGAAGACGACGACGUUGAUAGGCCGGGUGUGUAAGCGCAGCGAUGCGUUGAGCUAACCGGUACUAAUGAACCGUGAGGCUUAACCUUACAACGCCGAAG